CGCUCCCCUGCUCCUCCCCACGCCCCCGACGGACGGUUCCUCCGCCCUGAGCCUCCCUGCCUCCGCCUCGCGCACUCCUCCGCCGUUCGCCGCGCGCCCACCCCCGUGCUUCGCCGUCGCGGCCACAUCCCUAGCACCUGCCCCUCGCGCUGGCUCUCUCGCCGCGGCGGCGCAGCCAUCCCCGUCGCGGCUCUCUCCUCCCUCUCGCGCCGCCGCCGCCGCCCACGAAGCCCGCUCGUCGCCGUGCGCCACUUCCUCUGCGGCCGGGGCGCCCCUCCUCUCUUCAAGCCUGGUGCCGCCCUCCACGCCGGUGGAGAGGAAGAGGCCGUCCCCCUCGCAUCACCUUCCCCCAACUCGACGCGGGCUCGUCGCGCCUCCCUCCCGCCACUCGACGCCGGCUCCGGCGCGAGACCCCACGGCCCGCCGGCUCCGAGACCGCGGCGCCUCCAAGCUCCCCACCGCCCGACUUGGACAGAUCCACUGAGGUGCCGGGUGGAUGCGCCACCCUCUCCGUAAUUCCAAUCGUUGCACGCCUCAUCUGUAUCGUCCUCGCUCCAGCUGCUGGCGCCCUCGACCUCGAGGGGUACCUCUAGCUUCAUCCCAGUUUCGCACCAGGGUCACCUUCGACACCUCCGAUGUCAAUGGGCCCUCACCAACGAAAUUUACCUUGGUAAGAAAUUUACCUUGGUGCCCACGAAGCCGGCAAGGAUGCAGAACUGGGCUGUAUUGAACCAAAACAAUUGAUAAGGAGGUUCCUACACUGUUAUCAAAGAGGUCUCCAUACUAUGCCAUCGAAUAUGCAAAAGUCUAUUACUAAAUGUAUGUUGGGACGUGCCAAUCUGUGUGACCCUGAUGAGAUCAGAUGCUCACCGAGGUGUCUUUCCUCCUAAAAUUUGGCACCAAGAUGCGCAGAAGAAGGGGAAGAUGAAUUAGCCAAGCAUUUUCUCCUGCAGGGAAGCAUGUGGGGCCAUGGUGGCAGCAUUGGCCAUGGUGGCAGCAUUGGCAGCUCUGAUGCUGUUGCAAUUUGGUAGGGCAAAAUAAGAUAGUAAUAUUUUAUUAAUAAGAGAGAUCAAUUUAUGUGUAAAUAAAUAAAUAAAUAAAUUUAUGGCAGUCACGCACACAUUGCUUUGUUAUGUUUUCCUUUCUUUACAGAUAGGAUAUUUGAAUCUAGGAUACAUGAAGCUGAUGCGUGUUUUCAAUUGAUCUACUGAUAGCGAUAGAAGUAAGCAGCAGAGAAGCAUGCUCGGUUCAUGUAGCUAACUGCAUCUCGAGAUAUUCUUGUGUUUGUAAUACUGUAUGAUCAAGCAAACAUGAUUUCUUUACUUUAUAUACUUGCAUAGCAUACUUCCAUUGUACGUGUAUGACCCUUUCCUAACUCAGGUAUGCUUUUUCAUUU